GACGAACGCUGGCGGCGUGCUUAACACAUGCAAGUCGAACGGAAAGGCCCUGCUUUUGUGGGGUUCUCGAGUGGCGAACGGGUGCGUAACACGUGAGUAACCUGCCCUUGUCUUUGGUAUAACUUCAGGAAACUGGGGCUAAUACCGGAUAGGAGCUCCUGCUGCAUUGUGGGCGUUGGAAAUUUUCGGCGGUUGGGGAUGGACUCGCGGCUUAUCAGCUUGUUGGUGGGGUAGUGGCUUACCAAGGCUUAGACGGGUAGCCGGCAUGAGAGGGUGAACGGCCACAUGGGGACUGAGAUACGGCCCAGAGUCCUACGGGAGGCAGCGGUGGGGAAUAUGGCACAAUGGGCGGAAGCCUGAGGCAGCAACGCCGCGUGCGGGAUGACGGCCUUCGGGUUGUAAACAGCUUUCGCCUGUGACGAAGCGUGAGUGACGGUAAUGGGUAAAGAAGCACCGGCUAACUACGUG
rnacentral:rRNA from 1 species